rnacentral:rRNA from 1 species
CGUAGGGUGCAAGCGUUAAUCGGAAUUACUGGGCGUAAAGCGUGCGCAGGCGGUUAUGUAAGACAGAGGUGAAAUCCCCGGGCUCAACCUGGGAACUGCCUUUGUGACUGCAUAGCUAGAGUACGGCAGAGGGGGAUGGAAUUCCGCGUGUAGCAGUGAAAUUCGUAGAUAUUAGGAGGAACACCGGUGGCGAAGGCGGCUAUCUGGACGACAACUGACGCUGAGGCGCGAAAGCGUGGGGAUCAAACAGGAUUAGAUACCCUGGUAGUCCACGCUGUAAACGAUGGGUGCUAGCUGUUCGGAGGUUACCUCUGAGUAGCGCAGCUAACGCGUUAAGCACCCCGCCUGGGGAGUACGGUCGCAAGAUUA